UACGUGGGGGCUAGCGUUAUCCGGAAUUACUGGGCGUAAAGGGUGCGUAGGCGGUCUUUCAAGCCAGAAGUGAAAGGCUACGGCUCAACCGUAGUAAGCUUUUGGAGCUGUAAGACUUGAGUGCAGGAGAGGAGAGUGGAAUUCCUAGUGUAGCGGUGAAAUGCGUAGAUAUUAGGAGGAACACCAGUAGCGAAGGCGGCUCUCUGGACUGUAACUGACGCUGAGGCACGAAAGCGUGGGGAGCAAACAGGAUUAGAUACCCUGGUAGU
rnacentral:rRNA from 1 species